rnacentral:lncRNA from 1 species
UGGAGACACCAUUUUGACCAUCUCUUUUGUGAGAUGUCAUGUGGUUUUUAUUAAUUUAGGCGCUGGACACCCUCUGCUGUGGCUUUCCCCUGAGCCCUGGAUGGCUGAUCAACUCAUUUACUCUGAGGAACUCAUGACUGAUCAUGGUAGUCAAGAAAAGGACUGUUAUCAACACUUGCAAAUGAAGAAACAGAGGCCCAGAGAGAUCAGGGAUGUGUCCAAGGCCACCCAGCCAGAUGGCGGCAGAGCUGGGACAGGAUGUUGGAUUCCUGUGAGGACCAAAAAUGAGAGAAUGUGCUUGAAGAAUAGUUGCAAACUGCAAAAGGCUGCCCACAGGCUCAAUUCCAGGAAGCGAGGGCUGGACUCUCUCUGCACUGUUCACACCCUUCCUUUUGGGGAGGCAGCAGGCUCAGAAAUAGCCUUCGCUUCUAUCCUCCCCGCUUCCCCUGGGAUUCGGGCUGAGUGUUUUCUUCUUGAAAAACAAAAAAUCAAAGCAGUUGCAGAAAAACCAAAAGCUCUUUUCUGCUUCCCCUCGGCUGCCCUUCUGCUCUCUGAGGCCAAGAGGAGAGGAUGUUGCUGGAGGCCUGGAUUUGGCUGGGGCCUUCCAGAGUCCUCACUGCCCUGCAAGGGCCACCAGGAGCAUCCUGGCCGGCGCUUGUCAUCUGUUCAGAGGCCAAUGCUGGUAGUGCUUUGAAAUGUGGGGCUCUGAUCUCAGCCCAACUCUGUCAGGCUAGGCUAUCACUGCCUGAGAGCACCGAGCAACCAUCUGGACAUGCCAGAGAAACGUACCCUGUCCUCUUCGCCAGAAAUAUUUAUUCAUUUCAAC